rnacentral:snRNA from 1 species
GGAUGUGAGGGCGAUCUGGCUGCAACAUCUGUCACCUCAUUGAUCGCCAGGGUUGAUUCGGCUGAUCUGGCUGGCUAGGCGGGUGUCCCCCUCCUCCCUCACCAAUCCGUGUGCAUCCCUCCCGAAGCUGCGCGCUCGGUUGAAGAGGACGACCUUUCCCCCAGAGGAGAGGACUGGUCUUCGGUCAAGGGUAUACGAGUAGCUGUGCUCCCCUGCUAGAACCUCCAAACAAGCUCUCAAAGAAGAACUGUCCUAACCGGUUUGGCUCAGUGGGUAGAGUGUUGGCCU